rnacentral:rRNA from 1 species
CUAUGCGCCUUGCCAGCCCGCUCAGUCAGAGUUUGAUCCUGGCUCAGGACGAACGCUGGCGGCGUGCUUAACACAUGCAAGUCGAACGGAAAGGCUCCAGCUUGCUGGAGUACUCGAGUGGCGAACGGGUGAGUAACACGUGGGUAAUCUGCCCUGCACUCUGGGAUAAGCCUGGGAAACUGGGUCUAAUACUGGAUAUGACCUUUCUCCUUAUGGGGUUUGGUGGAAAGUUUUUCGGUGUAGGAUGAGCCCGCGGCCUAUCAGCUUGUUGGUGGGGUGAUGCCUACCAAGGCGACGACGGGUAGCCGGCCUGAGAGGGUGAUCGGCCACAUUGGGACUGAGAUACGGCCCAG